AAUUUUUUUCCCACUUCUUUUGCUUCGCUUCUUCCGUAGCCGUUUGCUCUCCCCUCUCUUCGCCUCUACUGGUCUCAAAGUGGAUAGUUUUGUGGUGAGUUCUUCUAAUCUUGCAUCUACAAGUUUUUUAUGCAACUGUAUGGAUUGUGUUCUGUUAAAUUUUAGAUGUUAGAAGCUUUUAAUUUUUUUUGGGUUCAAUUUUAAAUGGGUUGUUGCUUUCAGAGUUUUCGUUUGAUGACAGAGAUGGGGUUUUUGGGGAGAAACUUUUAAUCCGUGAGUUUUUUAGUUAGGUUGUGUUGUGGGUCUUGAGAAAUGGAUUUGUAAAUGGAUUUUCUAUUGAAAUUGUUUCUCUUCUCAUUUUUUUUUUGUGCCAUCGGGUUUUGCAUAUGGGUGUAUAAUCAGGUUUUCUUUUGAAUUUCAGGGGAUUCAGGUUUUUAUUUUUCUGGAACUUUUGUCUGCAGCUUUGGAAGACAUUUGUGCUUAAGGUGAGAAACUUUGGUUGCUUGCUUUUGGGUUUUGUUGUAGAAUUAAUUAAUUUUUUUUAAGAGUUACAUUCGUGGGAAUUCUUUUGUUCUUCUUUUUUCCUGCAUCUCAAAAAUGCCACAUAAUGUGAGUUUAUAAUUAAAUAAGAAUAUCAAAAUGGGUUUUCUGUGCAAAUUUUCUUUUUCUGAUUUUAUAGAACCGAAGAGGAUGUUAACAAUAACAUUAUUGUGUGAUAUGCGAUCUAAAGUUCUUUGGUGAGUUAUUUGGUUUUCUUGCCACAUGGGAUUUUAACAUAUUUUUUUUUCGUGGUUUAUGCGUGGUUCUCUGAUAUGUUUUGAUUUUUUAUUUCAGGAAAAGUUAACGAUACGAUCAAACGUUUACUGGUGAAUUUUCUAUUUUUCUGAUUGUGUGUGAUUUAAUUUUUUUCAAGCUUUGGGUGUACUUUUCUGAACUGCUUUGAUUUUUAGUUGCAGCAAAAGUUGUUGCUCGAAUUUUCCAGUUUUUAUCUGCAGCUUUGCAAGCUCUUUAUCAACAAGGUAUAUAAUUUUUAUUCUUUUUCCUGAAUCUUUUGUUGGAUGGAAUCGUUUUUUUUGUUUUUGGUGAGUUCUUCUAAUCUCGCAUCUGGUACUGUUUUUUUUUCCGACUGUAUAGAUUGUGUUUUGUUGAAUUUUAAAUGGUAGAAGCUUCUUGGGUUCAAUUUAAAUGGGUUGUUAUCAACUAUUGAAUUGUUUUCGAAGCUAUUUGGCUACUCCCUUAACGCCCUUUUUCCUUUUCUUUUCAGCUUCUUUGAUUUGCAGCCCCCUUCUUUUUUUUCCUUUUCCAGAUUUAGCUUUUUUCCCCUAUAUUGUAUCUUUUGGCUAAUUUUGUGGGUCUUGGUCAGUGCUGUGGGUAUUGGUGAAUUUCUAGCAUGUUUAUGCAUGCAGUUUUUGUUAUAAUUUAUGGAUUGUGUUUUGUUCAAUUUUUAAAUGUCAGAAGCUCUUAAUUUUUUUGGGUUCAAUUUUAAAUGGGUUGUUAUCAACCAUUGAAUUUCUUUUGGAGUAUUCAUUUGAUAAGAGAGAUGGGGGGGGGGGGGGGUUCUUUUGGGUGAAACUUUUGAUCCGUGAGAUUUUUAGUUAGGUUGUGGUGUGGGUUUUCGCAAAUUUCUAUCGUGUUUAUGCAUGCUUUUUUUUGUUAUAG
rnacentral:lncRNA from 1 species